rnacentral:lncRNA from 1 species
AAAACCUACGACAAUGGACGAGUCUGACCUACGUAGCACUAUUUAGGGCGGCUGCAAAUAAGGUUAAAUGGGCAAAUGUAAUGGCCAACGCCCUUAAGGAUAAGGCACCGUAAGAAGAAGAAUAUUUGUUACACUUAACUGUUGUUCCAUGAGGAUAAAGGUCGAUUCCUUGUUGAAAGAAUUUCGCAUCUGGUGGUAACAACGAUCGGGAGCCCCAUCUUCGAAGACUGCUAAGCCAGCACUGAGCAAUACAGCGAAGCCUGAGUGGUGGGAUAAGAGAGAGAAAAAGUUGAUGCGUAAAACAGUGUUGCCAGAUUUCUCCCACUACGUGGCAUUUCUUCUCAGCGGCGUAGUGAACGUUUUUUUACGAACGACCCUCGUAGUUUCGGAACUUGCAAUUUUAUACACGUUCGAUAUACUGUGUACAUACUCCUCGCGAAUCUAUUCACACUAAAACAAAAUUAAAAUUAUUAUAACAUGUUGCGAUAGUGCAAACUCCAGUUAAGUGAUCACAUUAAUACUACCGCUAUUUACAAAUAAACGUACGUCUUAAUUGCAAAAAUAUUGCAUUGAUUUUUAUUAGAAUAGUCGAGUGAAAUGAGCAUUUUUGAUGAGAUUGUCAAUACUUAAUUUUUUGAAAAUUACCCAGUCACUAUACUUCGAUAUUCUGAAGCUGAACCUUCCAGCAAGAAAUUUACGUUUCAAUCCUCUUAAUUUGUAAAAUAAAGUAGUGAUUAUGUAUUUCGAAAAAAUCCUUUUAUUUGAAAGAAUUGGUUUAUGCAAUAAUCGAUUUAUCCUGAAAGAAUCCACUAAUAUAACCAACACAACAUAAUAUAUUCCAUCAAGUAUCUACACACAUAGAUGUAGUAAUAAUAAACUAGACGUAGAACUUGGAAAAAUAAGUGAAGCCCAUUUUUUUAAAUUAGUGCGCGUGUUGCUAGGUGGAACAAAUAAGGAGGCAAAAAAUGUAAACAUUGUUGAUUGUUCAUUGGCGGAUUGAUGGAAGGAUGGAACUGUAUGGAAGGCUGUUACUCCAUCUAUUGCGCGGUCGGCCGAUACUUCUACCGAUUUAUCUCUUGCUAUUUUGACCACACGUGUCUCCCCCAUUUUGCUUAUGAGGAUAUUCCAUUCUUUUUUUUAUUUAGUGUCCAUUCGUUUAUAUGUUACAUUUUCUUCUAAUGUCUUCACUCCUCUUUCGAUCUCUGUGUAUUUCCUGUAAUUCUUCUCAGUACUCUCAUCCCUGCCGUUUGUAGUAGUCUUUGUAUUGUGGCUGUAUCAGAUCUAGUUUCUGAUGCAAUAUUGUUAUACAGUCGAACCCGCUUAUAGGAAUAUCCCGGUUUAUGGAAUAUAAAUUCGAGGUCCUGAAACGUUUCCAUUUACUCUUUAAUAAAUUUAUCCGUUUAUUGGAAUAUGGUUUAGUAACCUAAUAUCGCUUUUUAGAAUAAUUUUUGCAGGUCAACAAAUAAAUUCUUAGGUAAAAUUUCCUAAAAAUUUUAAAUUUGCCGUUAAGAGCCGUUUUGUCGGUAAGAGCUUCGAAAGCCUGCUGUUUUGUAUAUUAUUACGGUUUGUCAGGUACCUAAUAAACACUUUAUUACUGUGUUAUAAGUAAACGCCUCUUUCCCACAGAAAAUUCAAUCGUAUGCCGACAAGGUCAUAAAAUAAUUUCAUUUGUCUACAAAUUUUUAUAGGUACAUUGCCACACACUUGGCUGUUUUUAGAAACAACAUUUUUCUAUAAGAUUAUUUAUUACCAAUAGUUGAUUGUUUGUUCGAAAGUCUUUUCUAAAACCCAAUUCCAAUUUAUUGUCUAAUCGUUUCGUAAUUAUUUUUGUAAAUAUAUUAUAAAUUUUUAUUUACAUAAAAAGACCUAAAACCAUAUGCAUAUACAUAUUGACAUAGUAUGUACUAUAAUAACGUAUAUUCGGUACACUUAUUUCAGCUAGCCACCAAUGAUCGGUUAUUAGAAUAUCCCGCUUAUAAGAAUAUUUUUGCUUGGCACGAAGCCUAUUCUAAUAAGCAGGUUACUGUACCGACUUUAUAAAUUCUUCACUUCAUCUCAGUGUUAAUAGGUAUGUCGGUUUCGCCAUAUAGUGUUAUUAAGGCAUCUUGCCAGUCUAUUUGCUUUUUGUACUUGAUUUCUCA